rnacentral:rRNA from 1 species
UACGUAGGGCGCGAGCGUUGUCCGGAAUUAUUGGGCGUAAAGAGCUCGUAGGCGGCUGGUUGCGUCUGCUGUGAAAUCCCGGGGCUUAACCCCGGGCGUGCAGUGGAUACGGGCCGGCUGGAGGCAGGCAGGGGAGAAUGGAAUUCCUGGUGUAGCGGUGAAAUGCGUAGAUAUCAGGAGGAACACCGGUGGUGUAAACGGCUUUCUGGACCAUAACUGACGCUGAGGCACGAAAGCGUGGGUAGCAAACAG